rnacentral:rRNA from 1 species
CCUACGGGUGGCAGCAGUGAGGAAUAUUGGUCAAUGGGCGAGAGCCUGAACCAGCCAAAUCGCGUGAGGGAGUACUGCCCUAUGGGUUGUAAACCCCUUUUGUCGGGGAGAAAAAGCCGGAUGCGUACGGCUGUGAGAGCACCCGAAGAAAAAGCAUCGGCUAACUCCGUGCAGGCAGCCGCGGUAGUACGGUGGAUGCGAGCGUUUUCCGGAUUUAUGGGGGGUAAAGGGUGCGUAGGCGGAUUUUUAAGUCAUCGGUAAAAUCGGGGGGCUAAACACCAUACAGCAGUUGUAACUGGGGAUCUAGAGUGUGCGAGAGGUAUGCGGAAUGCGUGGUGUAGCGGUGAAAUGCAUAGAUAUCACGCAGAACCCCGAUUGCGAAGGCAGCAUACCGGUGCACAACUGACGCUGAGGCACGAAAGCGUGGGUAUCGAACAGGAUUAGAUACCCGUGUAGUC